CAGUUCUGUGCCCGGCCCGGCCGUGCCGCUGUCCCGGUUCCCGGUGUGACCCCCCCAGCAGCCCCGGGACGUGCCGCCCGCACCCCCGUCCCUCCUGUCCGCGGCAGCGGCACCCGCAGCUCCUGUUGCAAUCAGGGAGGAAUUGGGAAGCAGAGAACAUGAGAGAGAACCUGUGGCUUACUGUUCAAGGAAAAGUUUCUUCCCAUUUCAAAUGUCCCCAGCACGUGCCGGGAGACUUUAUUGGACACAGGACCAGCACCUUCACUCUGGAGCCAAGGACAAAGUAUGAGCUGAGAAUUCCUGUGGGUUUUCCUGCAGACCUGGCCCAAUCCUUCCCUCUGUGUGCCUUGACCUUCUCAUCAGCUUCCUCGUCCUCUUACUCAGGCAAAAAGCAGAAGCACCAGAACACCUCCAAGGAAGUGAUUCAAGGGGCACCUUUGGCUUUGACUAGAAACCCUGGUGGCUGGAAACUUCCCACGGGGGACUCUUCCCACACAGAUACAUUUCCAGCUCACACUUCUGUGGCUCUAAACCUCUGCUGAGAGGGAGCAGAGACAUGGCAGGGACUUCCCUCUGCCACGUGACUCCUGCCACUCGUGCCACUUCGACAGCUACAACGGGAAAUUUUUAGCAAGGACAAGCCAUGGGCAUUCACACCAAAGCCUGACAACACUGUGUGGAGACCUUGGGCUGUAAUUUCUUAUUUUAGUUCACAUAGGAGCUUGAGGAAGUGCAUUAAGAAGCUCUUGCCAAAGUGUCUUUAAAAAAUCCACCCAAAUAACCAAGAAGCAUGGGAUUAUCAGGAGCUGCUAAAGAAAUGGUGCCGCAUCUGGGAGUUAUCUGGAGCCAGGAACUUGGAGUGGUUUAUCUUCCAACAAUACCUGACUGGCUGUUACAGACUGUCCCAUCUCUGCCUGUGGGAGGGCAGAAUCAGGGGGGAUUUCAUGUACCCACAGGCAGGGUCUGGCACAAAAAUUAAUAGCAGAGAUAUUGUGGAGUUUUUAGGACAGCAGAUCACUUCUGGGAUAUUGGGUCUCUGAUCCAAAUACUGGCUGGAAUUUUCCAAAGAGUUUGGGGAAACAUGAGAAUUUCCAAAAUCACCACUCAGCCCCUGAAGUUUUCCCCCCAUCUAAAAUCUGGGAAUACUACAGCAAGUCAUGUUUGCUUUUAGGGAACAGAUUCGUUUUGGGAAAAACACUACCAGAAACGGGAAGAAGCACUGCUGGUUUUGUUUAGUAAGUUCUGAAGGGAAGAAAUGGCCUGUCCUUUUCUACCUCAGGCAGGAGUUUCCAGGACGCUUCUCUCUGAUCUAAUCUUAUCACCCUGAUUUCUUUCUGGCAUUUUGGGACAUGUUUUUCGUGACUAUAUCAGUCAGCUGAAGCCCUUUCCUGCCCCUGCAUGAAUUAUUAUUGUUUGGAUUUUGGCAGAACAUAGAGAUCCUUCUGAAGAUUGUGGCUGAAUUGCCUCCAUGGAGUUUAUUCCUGCUUGAUUUCUGUGGGGUAUUGAUGGGAAAUAUAUAAACAGCUGAGAAAGGAGAUGUGACAAGUCCAUGGCGGAAGGGCUCAGCAGGGCAGUUCUGCCUCCAGCAGGGAGACCCAGCCCUCGGGUUUAAUAAUAAUAAACAAUCCCGGGUGAGAUCUUUGCU